rnacentral:misc_RNA from 1 species
GAAAUGCGAUAAGUAAUGUGAAUUGCAAAAUUCAGUGAAUCAUCGAAUCUUUGAACGCACAUUGCGCCCGCCAGCACUCUGGCGGGCAUGCCUGUUCGAGCGUCAUUUCAACCCUCAGAACCCCUUGUGGGAUCUGGCGUUGGGGAUUGGCAUCCAGCCAGCCCCGAAAUCUAGUGGCGGUCCCUCCGCGACCUCCCCUGUGCAGUAGCGAUACCUCGCAGCGGGACAGCGGUCUGACCACGCCGUAAAACCCCCAACUUCUCAAGGUUGACCUCGAAUCAGGUAGGAAUACCCGCUGAACUUAAGC